rnacentral:rRNA from 1 species
GAUGAACGCUGGCGGCGUGCCUAAUACAUGCAAGUCGAGCGAACAGACGAGGAGCUUGCUCCUCUGACGUUAGCGGCGGACGGGUGAGUAACACGUGGAUAACCUACCUAUAAGACUGGGAUAACUUCGGGAAACCGGAGCUAAUACCGGAUAAUAUAUUGAACCGCAUGGUUCAAUAGUGAAAGACGGUUUUGCUGUCACUUAUAGAUGGAUCCGCGCCGCAUUAGCUAGUUGGUAAGGUAACGGCUUACCAAGGCAACGAUGCGUAGCCGACCUGAGAGGGUGAUCGGCCGCACUGGAACUGGGACGCGGUCCAGACGCCUACGGGAGGCAGCAGUAGGGAAUCUUCCGCAAUGGGCGAAAGCCUGACGGAGCAACGCCGCGUGAGUGAUGAAGGUCUUCGGAUCGUAAAACUCUGUUAUUAGGGAAGAACAAAUGUGUAAGUAACUAUGCACGUCUUGACGGUACCUAAUCAGAAAGCCACGGCUAACUACGUG